GACGAACCGAGCGAACGUUGUUCGGAAUUACUGGGCGUAAAGGGCUCGUAGGUGGCCAACUAAGUCAGACGUGAAAUCCCUCGGCUUAACCGGGGAACUGCGUCUGAUACUGGAUGGCUUGAGUUCGGGAGAGGGAUGCGGAAUUCCAGGUGUAGCGGUGAAAUGCGUAGAUAUCUGGAGGAACACCGGUGGCGAAGGCAGGUCUCUGGGCCACUACUGACGCUGAGAAGCGAAAGCAUGGGGAGCGAACAGG
rnacentral:rRNA from 1 species